rnacentral:rRNA from 1 species
UACGAAGGUGGCAAGCGUUACUCGGAAUUACUAGGCGUAAAGGGCAGGUAGGUGGUUUCGUAAGUCUGUUGUGAAAGCUCCCGGCUUAACUGGGAGAGGUCAACAGAUACUGCGAGGCUUGAGUAUGGGAGAGGGUACUGGAAUUCCUGGUGUAGCGGUGAAAUGCGCAGAUAUCAGGAGGAACACCGAUGGCGAAAGCAGGUACCUGGACCAUUACUGACACUCAGCUGCGAAAGCUAGGGGAGCAAACAGG